rnacentral:tRNA from 1 species
AUUUGGCCCAUGUUUGCGGCGUUAUGGCUGGCCGUGGAUCCAUCAACAACCGUUUGGCACGGCUCCAGCGCCAGCCGCCCCGCUAUG